rnacentral:rRNA from 1 species
UGGGGAAUAUUGCACAAUGGGCGCAAGCCUGAUGCAGCCAUGCCGCGUGUAUGAAGAAGGCUUUCGGGUUGUAAAGUACUUUCAGCGGGGAGGAAGGGAGUAAAGUUAAUACCUUUGCUCAUUGACGUUACCCGCAGAAGAAGCACCGGCUACCUCUGUGCCAGCAGCCGCGGUAAUACGGAGGGUGCAAGCGUUAAUCGGAAUUACUGGGCGUAAAGCGCACGCAGGCGGUUUGUUAAGUCAGAUGUGAAAUCCCCGGGCUCAACCUGGGAACUGCAUCUGAUACUGGCAAGCUUGAGUCUCGUAGAGGGGGGUAGAAUUCCAGGUGUAGCGGUGAAAUGCGUAGAGAUCUGGAGGAAUACCGGUGGCGAAGGCGGCCCCCUGGACGAAGACUGACGCUCAGGUGCGAAAGCGUGGGGAGCAAACAGG